UACGUAGGGUGCGAGCGUUAAUCGGAAUUACUGGGCGUAAAGCGUGCGCAGGCGGCGGCUCAAGUCAGGUGUGAAAUCCCCGGGCUUAACCUGGGAACUGCGUUUGAUACGGAUGGGCUAGAGUUCGGGGAGAGGAGAGUGGAAUUCCCAGUGUAGAGGUGAAAUUCGUAGAUAUUGGGAAGAACACCGGUGGCGAAGGCGGCUCUCUGGACCGAGACUGACGCUGAGGCGCGAAACGUGGGGAGCAAACAGG
rnacentral:rRNA from 1 species